rnacentral:lncRNA from 1 species
CUCGAGACAGCAGGAUGCUCAACCAGCAGGUGAAGAAGGACGUGUUUGCUUCCCUUUCUGCCAUGAAUGUUUCCUGAGGCCUCUCCAGCCCUGUGGAAAUGUGAGUGAUCUGAAAAGGAAGAGAUUAUCUCCUCUUUAAUGCUGUAUCCCAAAGCCUAGAAGAACCAGAGACUUACUAGCUAAUCAAUAAAUAUUGCUGAGUAAAUAAAUGACAGACAUUUGCAUGCAGGC